CACGUGAGUAACCUGCCCCUGACUUCGGGAUAAGCCCGGGAAACUGGGUCUAAUACCGGAUACGACUGCCGGACGCAUGUCUGGUGGUGGAAAGUUUUUUCGGUUGGGGAUGGGCUCGCGGCCUAUCAGUUUGUUGGUGAGGUAAUGGCUCACCAAGACGACGACGGGUAGCCGGCCUGAGAGGGCGACCGGCCACACUGGGACUGAGACACGGCCCAGACUCCUACGGGAGGCAGCAGUGGGGAAUAUUGCACAAUGGGGGAAACCCUGAUGCAGCGACGCAGCGUGCGGGAUGACGGCCUUCGGGUUGUAAACCGCUUUCAGCAGGGAAGAAGCGCAAGUGACGGUACCUGCAGAAGAAGUACCGGCUAACUACGUG
rnacentral:rRNA from 1 species